rnacentral:lncRNA from 1 species
CAUCUUGAGGUCAAGAUUAUCAAUUUCAGGAUUGUUGGGCAUCGAAAUAGCCUCUUCUAGUGAAUUUUUGAAGUGCACCUCAACUUGCUUGUUUAAGGCCCAUAUUUUUUUUAGGGAUUAUCUAUAAAGAGACUAUUUAUGUUCUGUAAAUGGAGGUAUAAUCAUUCUUGUCCAUGAAAUUUCAAAAUAAGCGGUUAAAAAAAUCUUGUACUUUAUGAUUCACCCUAAGCCAUCCAAUUUGACAGUUAAUGAGUGGAAAUGCUUGUGAACUCCAUGUACAAAAGAUAAAUGAUCUCUCUAUAGAUAAUUUUUUUAUAUAUGAGACUAUAUACAAUGAGGCCAAAAAAGUUUUUAUGCUUCCCCUAUAGCAUAGAAGUUUUAUCCUCCCCCUACUAUCCAG